rnacentral:rRNA from 1 species
GACGAACCGUGCGAACGUUGUUCGGAAUUACUGGGCGUAAAGGGCUCGUAGGCGGCCAACUAAGUCGGACGUGAAAUCCCUCGGCUUAACCGGGGAACUGCGUCCGAUACUGGAUGGCUUGAAUUCGGGAGAGGGAUGCAGAAUUCCAGGUGUAGCGGUGAAAUGCGUAGAUAUCGGAAGGAACAUCAGUGGCGAAAGCGACUUCCUGGACCAGUACCGACGUUCAGGCACGAAAGCGUGGGGAGCAAACAGG